rnacentral:lncRNA from 1 species
UGUUUCACUACGUGAAAAAGCUAUAACCAUUUUAAAGACCUCAAGCUUAAUUUGCGCUGUGCACACAUUUUGUAAAAGAACUACAUUUCAGUGUUGAAACCUUGUUUACAUUUAGAUCUAGAAUUGAUUGUUAUCAAAACCAACCAAAGAACAACAGUUCUGUAAAAGGGAAUAAUUUAGGAAGUGAGUUUGUGGAGUGAGAGAGGAAGUAGUUUCUGAAGAUUGCAUGAGAUUCUGAGAUUGUACCUCAUGUGAAUGUCCUGUGAAAAUCCACUCUGGUGUAAUAUGGCAUAACUUCCUGGGUCAUCCGCACAGAAAGCAGUUGUUUACCACUUUGUUUCUGAGCUUUGACGAAACAACCGAGAGAAAGAAAAGGUGGCUCAUUUUGUUUCAAAUAAAAGGAAAUGUAAAUUUCGCUCAAGGAUGUAUGCAGCCAAGUCUGUCCUGUGUUGGAUCAUAAUUCUGUGCUGUUGGCAGGAAACUCUAGCCAAACCUACAAUCUCCAUGCAGAACAGAACCAGAGUGGCACUAGCAGGGGAAAGUCUUGACUUCCAACUGUCAGUUUUGAUCCCAGCAAACUACACCACUAGUAAACUUGUAUGCUACCACACCCAGAACAAGACGAAAAUUUGGAAUAAAGAACUUAAAAGUGAAUUUUAUGAAAAAAGACAUUCGGUGAGUGCACGUAUCAACAUGCACGAUAGCUCCAGUUCUGGCAAUUACUACUUUAGUUAUGCAAAUCAGGAAGUGCAUUGGGUGGUACAUGUGAGAGGUGAGUCUGAAGAUCAUUUUAUUUCCUCUCUAUGGUUGAAAUUCACUGGCCAUUUAUAAUCUCUUAGUCACAACUUAAACAAUUAUAAGUAUUAAAAUACAUGCAAAUCUUCAAAUUAGUAGAGAUUUUUUUUUCUUCAGAACCUUUUAUGUGCCUUGCGCUGCUUUUAUUUAACCUUAUUUUUAUUUUAUUUUUUUUAUUAUAUGUCUUUUUUACAUUCCCUUAUUGUAUAGUUGUAUCUUAUAUUUUAUAUUUGAUCUAGAUUUUUAGGCUCUACUGUUAGUGUUAUCUGUAUGCACCGGGUGUCUGAGAGUAACACAAUUUCGAUUCUCUGUAUGUAUGUACUAUACAUGUGGAAGAAUUGACAAUAAAGCAGACUUGACUUGACUUGACACAGGGGACCUCUCCUGGACUGAAAACACAGCAGCACUGGCCAUGAAAGCACAGCAGCGUCUCUACUUCCUCUGCAAACUAAGAAGAGCCAGUGCCCCGGCCCCCAUCAUGUGCACCUUCUACAGAGGCACCAUUGAGAGCAUUCUGACGAGCUGCAUCACUGUGUGGUAUGGCGCCUGCAACGUGUCCUGCCGGAAGACCCUUCAACUCAUAGUGAGAGCAGCUGAGAAGAUCGUUGGUGGCUCUCUCCACUCCCUCCAGGACAUUUAUGGAACCCGUCUCCAAAUAUUCUCCACUGUGUACAUUUUGAGUGACUUCUAUGCAUUCUUUUACAGUUUGAGAACCUUGUUGAGAGCGAUGAGGUAAAGGCACACUUACAGUACCACACUCACAAUUUUACAAUAUACCACUUUUGCUUAGACGUCAACACUUUUGUCUUCUUUUUCAGGGUGAGAGCUCACAAAGCUGCUCCAGGUCUGAUACUAUUUAAUCUUGACUCUUUUAUUGGUAUUUUAGAGUUGGGUCACUAAAAGUCUUAUUAUCUCUUGAUUUGAGGGCAGUGACAUCAAUUUUUCAGUUGAGGACAGUGACAAAUUUUAAACUGUUUAUGAAUAGUGUGAUGGAUAUUGUGCACAAAAAAAUGCAGGAACUUCUUUCUAAUAUAUCCAUUUGCAUAUUUGUCUGUAUCUAAAUGCCACUUAAAGGUAUAGUCCACCCAAAAAUGAAAUUUCAAUCAUCAUUUACUCCCACUCAUGUCGUUCCAAACCUGUAUGACUUUUUCCUGUGGAACACAAUUGAAGAUAUUUAUGUAACCAAAUGAUUUGGGGUUCCAUUGACUUCCAUAGUAUGGACAAAAAUACAAUGGAAAUCGAAGAGACCCAAAACUGUUUGGUUACCUUCUUCAAAAUAUUAUCUUUUGUGUUGAGCAGAAAAAAAUUAAUUCAUACAAAUUUGGAACAACAUGAUAUGAUAUUUUUGGGUUCACUAAACCUUUUAAAUGAGCUAUGGAUAUUCACUGAUGGCUGACCUGUAAUGGUCAGCUCUUGGCCUGGAUAAGUUGUAAAGUGGAACAGUUAGUCAAAACUAGCCAUUAAAGUUAGGACUGUAAUUACGGUAGUCACAUUCUUCUCAGAUCAGUGCAUCACAUAGCAUGAGGUCAGAUAGAUUUUGAUUGGUUGAUGGAGACUCUGAACUCAAUUCUCUCUCCCGUCAUUGCUUCAGACCCAUCAGUGAAGAGGAGAUUGGUCACUUGAAGGAGCAGUGCUAUGCUGCCAUCUCAGACAAACAGGUGCUGAUCGACGAAAAGCUGAAUGCAGAGGUACAGCAGGUCAUCAUAUGUGCCAAACAUGUGUUUGUAAAGUAAAAUGGAUCAAUGUCAUGUGACGAUUAAAUAGUCAAGUUCAAAACAUGUUGCCAUAAAACAAUGUUUACUUUUAAGUUAGAGCUUACGUUAAGUUUAUGCUUUCAUUUGUUUUCCAUUGCUUUGGUUUUUCACCCCGCUUUUGUUUCUGAGUUUAGUUAACUUUUCCUUUCUGUUGUGAUUUCUGCCCAGUUAUUGGCAGAAGAGGAGAAGUUAAGGCUAGAAGAGGAGGCUGUUUUUGCAGCUCAGC